CACGCCGUAAACGAUGUCUACUCGGAGUUUGGUGUCUUGAACACUGGGCUCUCAAGCUAACGCAUUAAGUAGACCGCCUGGGGAGUACGGCCGCAAGGUUAAAACUCAAAUGAAUUGACGGGGGCCCGCACAAGCGGUGGAGCAUGUGGUUUAAUUCGAUGCAACGCGAAGAACCUUACCUACUCUUGACAUCCACAGAACUUUCCAGAGAUGGAUUGGUGCCUUCGGGAACUGUGAGACAGGUGCUGCAUGGCUGUCGUCAGCUCGUGUUGUGAAAUGUUGGGUUAAGUCCCGCAACGAGCGCAACCCCUAUCCUUAUUUGCCAGCACGUAAUGGUGGGAACUCUAGGGAGACUGCCGGUGAUAAACCG
rnacentral:rRNA from 1 species